UCCCCAGAAGUAGAUGAAGACCGGAUCCCCAACCCACUUCUCAAGUCCACACUGUCAAUGUCUCCACGGCAACGGAAGAAGAUGACAAGGACUACACCCACCAUGAAAGAGCUCCAGACAAUGGUUGAACAUCACCUAGGGCAACAGAAACAAGGGGAAGAACCUGAGGGAGCCACUGAGAGCACAGGGAACCAGGAGUCCUGCCCACCUGGGAUCCCAGACACAGGCUCAGCGUCAAGGCCAGAUACCUCGGGGACAGCACAAACCUGCAGAAUCCAAACCCAAGACUCAGGAGCAGCGUGGUGUGGAGCCCAGCACAGAGGACCUUUCAGCCCACAUGCUACCACUGGAUUCCCAAGGAGCCAGCUUGGUCUGACAGAAGUUGACAUCCGGGGAUCGCCAGUGAGUGUGGAAGUUCAUGGACACUGGAUGUUUCUUAAUCUCUUGUUUUUAAACGUGAUAAAUUUGGUGUUA
rnacentral:lncRNA from 1 species